UACGUAGGUGGCAAGCGUUGUUCGGAAUUAUUGGGCGUAAAGGGCGCGUAGGCGGCCUGUUAAGUCGAACGUGAAAUCCCCGGGCUCAACCCGGGAACUGCGUCCGAUACUGGCAGGCUUGAAUCCGGGAGAGGGAUGCGGAAUUCCAGGUGUAGCGGUGAAAUGCGUAGAUAUCUGGAGGAACACCGGUGGCGAAGGCGGCAUCCUGGACCGGCAUUGACGCUGAGGCGCGAAAGCCAGGGGAGCAAACGGG
rnacentral:rRNA from 1 species